UAGGCGCACGGGUGAGUAACACGUGAAUUAUCUACCUCCGAGUGGGGGAAUAACUGAGAGAAAUCUUAGCUAAUACCGCAUAACACUUACGAGUCAAAGCAGCAAUGCGCUUGGAGAGGAGUUCGCGGCCGAUUAGUUAGUUGGCGGGGUAAUGGCCCACCAAGACGAUGAUCGGUAUCCGGCCUGAGAGGGCGCACGGACACACUGGAACUGAAACACGGUCCAG
rnacentral:rRNA from 1 species